GGUGCUUUGAGACAGACUCACGGCCGGCUGUGAUUGAGCUCAAUGGGUGAGGUGGGGCAUUGCCCUACAACCCAAUUCAGACUACUCUCCUCCGGA
rnacentral:RNase_P_RNA from 2 species